rnacentral:lncRNA from 1 species
ACUCCCGGAAGUGACUCGGCUUCUGCACGCCCCUCUUUCUCCAUUAGCGCCCCCCCUACAUUGCUAUUUCCCUCCCUCCCCCCUUUUCGUUUCCGGCGCUCCCGCCUUCUCUCCGCAGAGCUCUUCUCUGAGCCUGUUGGGGGGAGGGAGGGGGGCGUGGAGGAACUGGGGUUCGCGGGAGCACGAGCUGCAGCACCACUUCCGGAAAGUUCAGGAGCCCUGGAAAGGAGAAGGAAUAAGACGGCAGGAGGAAGAGAGAGAGAGGGUAGAAUGGAAGAAUCUCACUUCAAUUCUAACCCGUACUUCUGGCCUUCUAUCCCCACAGUCUCAGGUCAGGUAAGUGGUGUUGCUUUCUUGCUCUCUCCAAGUCUCAGUAGUAAGUUCUGUUACUAUGGAGACUGAAGGUACACCACAUGCUGUUUUACUGGGUCCCCCACCCCUGAGAAUUAUCUAGUGUUUCUGCCUGGGCUUCUCUCUAGAAGGCCAGAGGUAUGAAGUGCUCAUCCUUGAUCCCUAAGGAGGACAGACACUGAAGUGUGCUCACGAGCAAGCAGAAUCAGCCUCUCAGGCU